rnacentral:rRNA from 1 species
UGAACGCUGGCUACAGGCUUAACACAUGCAAGUCGAGGGGAAACGACGGGGAAGCUUGCUUCCCCGGGCGUCGACCGGCGCACGGGUGAGUAACGCGUAUCCAACCUGCCUCUGACUGAGGGAUAACCCGUCGAAAGUCGGCCUAAUACCUCAUGGUAUCGUCUGCGGGCAUCCAACGACGAUUAAAGAUUUCAUCGGUCAGGGAUGGGGAUGCGUCUGAUUAGCUUGUUGGCGGGGUAACGGCCCACCAAGGCUACGAUCAGUAGGGGUUCUGAGAGGAAGGUCCCCCACAGUGGAACUGAGACACGGUCCAAACUCCUACGGGAGGCAGCAGUGAGGAAUAUUGAUCAAUGGGCGAGAGCCUGAACCAGCCAAGUAGCGUGCAGGAAGACGGCCCUAUGGGUUGUAAACUGCUUUUAGGCGGGGAUAAAGUGAGGGACGUGUCCCUCAUUGCAGGUACCGCAUGAAUAAGGACCGGCUAAUUCCGUG